AGAGUUUGAUCCUGGCUCAGAUUGAACGCUAGCGGCGUGCUUAACACAUGCAAGUCGAACGGCAGCGCGAGGAGCUUGCUCCUUGGCGGCGAGUGGCGGACGGGUGAGUAACGCGUAGGAAACUACCUAGUAGUGGGGGAUAACUCGGGGAAACUCGAGCUAAUACCGCGUACGCUCUACGGAGGAAAGCAGGGGAUCUUCGGACCUUGCGCUAUUAGAUGUGCCUGCGUCGGAUUAGCUUGUUGGUGGGGUAAAGGCCUACCAAGGCGAUGAUCCGUAGCUGGUCUGAGAGGAUGAUCAGCCACACUGGGACUGAGACACGGCCCAGACUCCUACGGGAGGCAGCAGUGGGGAAUAUUGGACAAUGGGGGAAACCCUGAUCCAGCAACGCCGCGUGUGUGAAGAAGGUCUUCGGAUUGUAAAGCACUUUCAGCGGGGAGGAAAAAAUAGUCCUUAAUACGGGCUAUCUUGACAUUACCCGCAAAAGAAGCACUGGCUAACUCUGUGCCAGCAGCCGCGGUAAUACAGAGAGUGCGAGCGUUAAUCGGAAUUAUUGGGCGUAAAGCGCGCGUAGGUUGAUUGCUAAGUCAAAUGUGAAAGCCCUGGGCUCAACCCAGGAACUGCAUUUGAUACUGGCAGUCUA
rnacentral:rRNA from 1 species